GGUUACCAAGAUCAUAAUAUAUAUAUAUAUAUUUAAUAUUAUCUUCCCUUCUAAUUUUUUAAUCUAUCUAUAAAUAUAUAGUCUAUUACUGGGAGAUUAUGAAUGGUUUGUUUCGUAAGAAGCAAUUAGGAAAGCAUUUGCAGCUAAUGCUAGCAAAUUCACAAUUCCCAAGUGAUCAUAAUUGUGUUCAAACACUAUAAUUUACACUGUUUUCUGUGUAAAAUGUGCAGAUAUUGGGACCUCAACUGGAGCUUGCCAGGAGGGCAAGAUAGAUAUCAAUAGUAUGAUUUUUAUUUUGAAUAUGUUCUCCUCUGUUUCGCACUAAUGCUCCAUUUGUUUCAAGAAAAAUAUUUUACGGAAUUUCUAACGUUUAGUAUAGCAGAAAAAUGAGAGAGAACUGAAAACGUUUUCCAUGAUUAUUCCAAAAUAGCUUAUUUUGGUGAAAUACGUGUUUCAUUUUUCUGGACUAGGUCUUGCCAACAAUAUCCCCACCGCCCCCAUCCCCUGCCACAACCAUCGUUGCCAACACUGCCACUGCCACUAGCUCAUCAGUUCCAAGGUUGCAACCAAACAUAAACAAAUGUUUUUCAUGUGAGACGUUUUCCAGAAAAUAUUUCAACACCAUCACCUUUAUCACCACCACAGCCCCUAUUGCAACCAUCGUUGCCACCACCACCACUGCCGCUUCAGUUUUUGGAUGCAACCAAAUAUAAGAAAAACAUUUUUCAGAAAAGAUUUUAGAAAAAGAUUUUUUGACAAAACAAACGGAGCAUAAGAAAACUCCAAGAGUAGGAAAUGUUAACAAGAAGCUGAAACAUAAUCCCUUUUACUACACAGCCUCAAAGGAUCUAACUACAGUGUGAUACACACGAGUAAUGAGAAGUUGGAGCUCUCUUUCAGAAGUACUUAUGAUCCUUCAACCCCAGGCAUCAGACUUUCCGCUCAGUGUUGACUUAAGGUACAUUAUGAGGAGUGGUGUUUCAGGCUUCUAUUGCUACGCAAUAUACGAGCGUCCUCCAGGGUGUCGUGCCUUUGAUCUUGCUCAAACAAGAAUGGUGUUCAAGUUGCGACGAGAAAAGUAAAAUGAAGUCUCCUAAGUGAAUUUCAGAACUCUCUGGUGUUUUUAAGUGUACAUUGACACCAAAAGACUGAAGCAGGUUUCAUUAUAUGGCAAUUUCAGAUGAAAAGCAGAAGAUUAUGCCAAUGCCAGAGGAUAUACUCCCAGAUAGAAGCAAACAGCUAAUUGUACCUGAAUCAGUUUUGCUAACAAAUCCCAUUAAUCCAGAUCUCAAAGGCGAGGUGAAUAAUCUUAUCCCAAAUGUGUGCUAUAACAUACAUGUGUGUGCAUAAACAAGCAUGUAUUAUGAUUGAAGAACAAAAUUUCGAAAACAAAACAGCCAAAACAAUUCUGUUUCCUAGGAAACCGAAAUGAAACAUAUGU